rnacentral:tRNA from 1 species
GCGUGUGUGGCUCAGAGGUAGAGCGCUAACCUAGCAUGUGCACAGCCCUGGGUUUGAACCCCAGCAUGCUCC